AACGAACGCUGGCGGCAUGCCUAACACAUGCAAGUCGAACGAGACCUCCGGGUCCUGUGGCGCAUGGGUGCGUAACGCGUGGGAACCUGCCCUUAGGUUCGGAAUAACUCCCCGAAAGGGGUGCCAACACCGGACAAUGUCUUCGGACCAAAGAUUUAUCGCCUUUGGUUGGGCCCGCGUUGGAUUAGCUAGUUGGUAGGGUAAAAGCCUACCAAGGCGACGAUCCAUAGCUGGUCUGAGAGGAUGAUCAGCCACACUGGGACUGAGACACGGCCCAGACUCCUACGGGAGGCAGCAGUGGGGAAUAUUGGACAAUGGGCGAAAGCCUGAUCCAGCAAUGCCGCGUGAGUGAUGAAGGCCUUAGGGUUGUAAAGCUCUUUUACCCGGGAUGAUAAUGACAGUACCGGGAGAAUAAGCUCCGGCUAACUCCGUG
rnacentral:rRNA from 1 species